UCGGCUUAGAGUUUGAUCAUGGCUCAGGACGAACGCUGGCGGCGUGCCUAAUACAUGCAAGUCGAACGAAUUGGUGCUUGCAUCAUUGAGUGGCGAACUGGUGAGUAACACGUGGGAAACCUGCCCAGAAGCGGGGGAUAACACCUGGAAACAGAUGCUAAUACCGUAUAACAACAAAUCCGCAUGGAUUUUGUUGAAAGGUGUUCGUAUCACUUCUGGAUGAUCCCGCGGCGUAUUAGUUAGUUGGUGAGGUAAAGGCCCACCAAGACGAUGAUACGUAGCCGACCUGAGAGGGUAAUCGGCCACAUUGGGACUGAGACACGGCCCAAACUCCUACGGGAGGCAGCAGUAGGGAAUCUUCCACAAUGGACGAAAGUCUGAUGGAGCAAUGCCGCGUGAGUGAAGAAGGGUUUCGGCUCGUAAAACUCUGUUGUUAAAGAAGAACACCUUUGAGGUAAUUCAAGGGUUGACGGUAUUUAACCAGAAAGCCACGGCUAACUACGUGCCAGCAGCCGCGGUAAUACGUACGUGGCAAGCGUUGUCCGGAUUUAUUGGGCGUAAAGCGAGCGCAGCGGUUUUUUAAGUCUGAUGUGAAAGCCUUCGGCUUAACCGGAGAAGUGCAUCGGAAACUGGGAGACUUGAGUGCAGAGAGGACAGUGGAACUCCAUGUGUAGCGUGGAUGCGUAGAUAUAUGG
rnacentral:rRNA from 1 species